UACGAAGGGGACUAGCGUUGUUCGGAAUCACUGGGCGUAAAGCGCACGUAGGCGGAUGUGUCAGUCAGGGGUGAAAUCCCGGGGCUCAACCUCGGAACUGCCUUUGAUACAGCACGUCUCGAGUCCGGAAGAGGUGGGUGGAAUUCCUAGUGUAGAGGUGAAAUUCGUAGAUAUUAGGAAGAACACCGGUGGCGAAGGCGGCCCACUGGUCCGGUACUGACGCUGAGGUGCGAAAGCGUGGGGAGCGAUCCGG
rnacentral:rRNA from 1 species